AUGAGUGAUAUUCCAUCCAAAAGAGAAGGCUGUCUUUAUUGUAUGAAGCCAUUUAUAUGAUUAAAAUUCCAUUUGCCAUAUUGUAAGAUGACAACACCAACUAUACCUGCUAAUCAAAAAGCCCAAGCAAGCUGUACUCCCACAAGCUAAAAAAAAGGUGGAGGCAACCAAAAAUUUAAUUAAAGCUACAAAGAGAGAGUUAGAAAUGGAGAGUGAGUGAGGUAAGUUAUGUUAAAUUGAUAAGGGGCAAACCAGAAUGCACAAUUAAGUCCUUUCCACUACUAGCCUUGGUUUGGAAAGAGCAAGUACUACAAAAGCAGAUAAAGACAUCAACAAUCAAAUUCCUUCAAAAUGUUAAAAAGUACUGAGCCAAAGACUACUUUCCAAGGAGAAACAAAGUCUCCAUUUUAUGCAUCAGAGAACAUUGUUCCUAAACUAGAACUUAACAAAGAUUUGCCUAAAUCAGGGGAAAGGAGAUGUAAUCCUUCAGAAACUGAAGCACCUUUGCUGGUUAGCUCAAUGGAAACUUCUUUGUCAAAACAAGAUGGAAAAUAUUUCUCAGCCAUACUUAAUGAUGUGCAAACAGUUUCUGCUGAUCUGAAAUUGAAAAAAAAUGAUCCCCAAAAACAACAGCAUCUAGUAAAAGUAGUAGAUGUGCCUCCUGGUGAUUAUUACAGUUCAAAGAAUCUCAUUGAUGGAGUUAAAACAGUAACAAUCUCAUUGUCAAGCAAUGAGAGAGAUCCCAAAGGUAGGGAUCACCCCUCAAGAGUCUCCACUGAUAUUGGAGACACUGAGACUUGGGAAAGAACACAGAAUACUAAUUAAGCCUUAAAAAUAGCUAUUUAGGCAAAAUCUGAGUCUUGGGGAACCAAGAAUAAGGACUUAGCCUCAGAGUAGAGAAAAUGCAGGAGAAAAGUGUGUCUGGGACAGAAAAGCAGGAAUGGCCUGCCAUGAGCAUGGCUCAUAGGACUUCAACACUGAUGAUUCAGCCACAGAGAAGAAAUCUCAAGAUGAAGACUCCGUUUAAGCUUGUUCAUUCCAAGGGCGAUAACUUACAAUGAAUUUCUUUCUGUAAUGCAACCAAGCAGCCAAAGUCUUGCCUCUCUGUCUAGAAAAUUUAUUCAAGAAGAGAAAGUAAAAGACUGCAGUCAUAACUGAGUCUCAGAUGUAAAGGCAUUAGUGGAGAGUAAAGAACAAGUCUCUCUGGAGCCCAUAUCUGGCUUCAGUUCCAAGCAUUGCACAUUUAGUGACAGGGCCCUUUAUGUUCACCCCAGGAUCACACUUCUCAGAGCCCCUUCACCAAUCAUGCUACAACUGCUGGCAGAAAGGACCUUUCAGCUCCAUGGGGCUGGAGUUGUUUCCUGCUUAUCUUGGACUAGGGGUGUUCCCAGGAAAGCCUCAGUGUUAGAAUGCAAUGGCCCAGAAACCACAGCUUAUCCGUUCCCAGAAGGGAAGACUUUCACAAGUUCCUUCGUUGGAAAGAAAUUCGACUGAUAUAAGAAGUUUGAAACCCCCAAUCAGACUUACAAUCUCCAAAUUCUCUCUAAUGAAGCUCUUGGGAGCUGUACAAAAAGGCUGGACUAAGUGCAAUACCACCAUAAAGAAGAGUAGAGUCAGUGGUAUCACAGUGCUCUUUAAAGGAUACUUCAUCCUAUUUUGUAGCUGGAGUUUCAUGCAUCUGAAG
rnacentral:lncRNA from 1 species